UCAGUCGGCCGGACGGCCGCCCCUGUAGGUGCCGAAAGGCCGCCGGGGAGGAAAGUCCGGGCUCCCUUGACAUACGGUGCCGGAUAACGUCCGGCGGGGGCAACCCCAGGGAAAGUGCCACAGAGAACGAACCGCCCGCCGUCGCCCCUAACGGGGCUAUGGCGUGACAAGCCCGCAAGGCGCGCCACGCCGAAGCUGCGCAAGCAGCGUAGGCGGGUAAGGGUGAAAAGGUGCGGUAAGAGCGCACCGCGGCUCCGGCAACGGGGUCGGCAUGGUAAACCCCACCGGGAGCAAAACCGAAUAGGGACGGCAAAUGCGGGCCGAUCGCGCAAGCGAUAACGCCGCGGGGCGAUGUCAGGCCCGCCGUCCGGGUAGGUUGCUCGAGGCAAUGUGCAAACAUUGUCCCAGAGGAAUGGCCGUCACGUAUCGUUCGCGCAAGCGGGCGGUGCCUUACAGAACCCGGCUUACAGGCCGGCUGAUAUU
rfam:Bradyrhizobium sp. LTSP849 NODE_31, whole genome shotgun sequence.